rnacentral:lncRNA from 1 species
CUGGUGUCCCGCCGCCCGUCCGUGCGCCGCAGGAGCCUCCGCCGGGAGCCGCGCCGGUGCCGCUUCGGCCCGUACGGCCCGGAGGAGCUGGGCAGCUGCACCCUGCGCUUUGCUGUCUACACCAGGUCACGGAGCCUCCAGGAUUCCUUCGUGGGCGAGGUCCUGUUCCCCUGCGCCGAGGCCUCCUGGGACCCCCGCGCCCCCUCCAGCUACUCCUGGGAGCUGGCAAGCACCAAAACCAAGCUCAGCAAGGCCACUACGUCAUCGUCCAUCUCCACCACGACGGCCACAUCAUCGACACCAAGGAGACCAAGCCCGCCAGUGGCUACAACCCCGUGUGGAACGCGCCCUUCCUCUUCAGCAUCCCCGCCGGGGACAUCCAGCAGCAGGAGCUGGCCUUGGAGUUCAUUGUCAUGCAGGCUCGGCUCCACACCCGCGGCUCCAUGCUGGGCCGUGUCCAGGUGGGGCCAGGUGCCCUUGGGACCGGGAUGCCGCACUGGAGGGACAUGUGCAGCCAGGCACCGCUGGAGUCGGAGCGUUGGCAUUGCAUCCAGCCCCCUGCACCCGGCCCUUGAUCCUGCGGGAAGGACUCGGGACUGAGCCAGGGGGGCUCCGAGCUGUGGAGAGGGGAUGUGGCACCCACACACCAGCGGGGGAGAAGCCCUGGCUCCAUCUCUGGGGCUGGAGAUCACUGGUGGUCGGCCCAUCCUGAACAUCUACAGAGGGGACUGAGCCCAUCUGAAGUGGGAGAGGAGAGGAGGAGAGGAGCUUUGUCUGCUCUGUCCCCUGUCUGCUCCAUCCCCUGUCUGCUCCAUCCCCUCUCUGCUCCAUCCCCUGUCUGCUCCGUCCUGUCUGCUCCAUCCCCUGUCUGCUCCAUCCCCUGUCUGCUCCAUCCCCUGUCUGCUCCGUCCCCUGUCUGCUCCAUCCUCUCUGCUCCAUCCCCUGUCUCCAUCUGGAAUCUCAGCUGUGCAGGAGCCGGGUGGGACAAUCACCCAACCGAGAUCCCUGUGGCCACCACAGUGGUGGCAUCUCCUGCCCUUUCCACCCCGCCUGAGUGGAGCCGCGUGAACACGCCAAUGUCACCUGCUGAAAAAGGUGUCCAUCGGCAUUUCUGAUUGAGCGCUGGCCUUAAUGAGGGCUCGAUAAAUAAAUAAAGGGUUGGGAAUGAUCA